UACGUAGGAGGCGAGCGUUGUCCGGAAUUACUGGGUGUAAAGCGCGUGUAGGCGGUGAGUUAAGUCUGUUGUGAAAGCGCCCGGCUUAACCGGGCAGAGUCAAUGGAAACUAGCGCACUGGAGGUCGGUAGAGGCGAGUGGAAUUCCCGGUGUAGUGGUGAAAUGCGUAGAGAUCGGGAGGAACACCAGUGGCGAAGGCGGCUCGCUGGGCCGGACCUGACGCUGAGACGCGAAGGCGUGGGGAGCGAACGGG
rnacentral:rRNA from 1 species